AUGCCACNAACCAGUGCCUGUGGUGAUUUAAUGUCUUGUCAAAUGCUUUUAUUGAUUGGUUUGUAUGUCAUUCUUGUUAUAGAAGAAUAUGCCUUUUUUAAAAGCUUAUUAACACUUUUCCCAAUUUAUAUUUAAAAAAGCUAAAGAACACUGGAUUAAUUGGGGAGGGGUAGAAUAAAAUAAUUGAUUACUAUUGCUGCAUACCCAGGGUGGGGUGGGGUGGUUGGAGAACCAGAAGUGUUUUUAAAACAUUAGGUUUCAAUAUAAAUACAACUCACAACUGUUAGCUUUGGGAGGGGGUUGGGUGGGGGAGUUGUGUGGGUUUUGUUUUGUUUAAUUUAUUGAUUAGUCUUUAAAGCUGUUUGUUAUUUUGUUUUUUUUGUUUUUGUUUUUUGAGAUUACUGGACCAUCAUUAAUGUGUACUGUGAAGAGAUUAAUAUGUAUCAAGGGCUUUACCAAAGUCCACUAAAUAAACACUACUCAAGUACAGACUGCAAACCAAAAUGUAUCUGUGUUAUGAUAUUAAUUGCAAAUAGCGAGCAUGGUGCUAAAGUCUACACCAGUGGAAUUAGAUGAGUGCUAUGCACUUAAUUUUAAAAUAAAACUAGUUUUCAUUAAAAU
rnacentral:lncRNA from 1 species